GAUGAACGCUGGCGGCGUGCCUAAUACAUGCAAGUCGAGCGAACAGACGAGGAGCUUGCUCCUUCGACGUUAGCGGCGGACGGGUGAGUAACACGUAGGUAACCUACUUAUAAGACUGGGAUAACUUCGGGAAACCGGAGCUAAUACCGGAUCAUAUUUCGAACCGCUUGGUUCGAUAGUGAAAGAUGGCUUUGCUAUCACUUAUAGAUGGACCUGCGCCGUAUUAGCUAGUUGGUAAGGUAACGGCUUACCAAGGCAACGAUACGUAGCCGACCUGAGAGGGUGAUCGGCCACACUGGAACUGAGACACGGUCCAGACUCCUACGGGAGGCAGCAGUAGGGAAUCUUCCGCAAUGGGCGAAAGCCUGACGGAGCAACGCCGCGUGAGUGAUGAAGGUCUUCGGAUCGUAAAACUCUGUUAUUAGGGAAGAACAGACGUGGAAGUAAAUGUGCACGUCUUGACGGUACCUAAUCAGAAAGCCACGGCUAACUACGUG
rnacentral:rRNA from 1 species